rnacentral:tRNA from 2 species
GGAGGGGUGGCCGAGUGGCUGAAGGCAGUGGUUUGCUAAAUCACCGUACGAUGUCAAGUCGUACCGCGGGUUCGAAUCCCGCCCCCUCCGCCA